rnacentral:rRNA from 1 species
UAAUUCUCUUAUUAUUUUUUAUUUGCUUAUUUUUAGUUAAUAAUUUUUAGUAUGAAAUAUUUAAAGGGAUGAGCUUUUAAUUAUAUUAUUAAAAAUUUUUAUUUUAUUUAUUUUUUGUAUAAUUUAUAUUAUUAAUCAUAUGAAUAAUUUAAUAGUUAAUUUUAUUUUAUUUAAAAUUUAUAUUAAUUUUAAUUUUUAUAUUAAAAAAUUUUGUUUAAUAUUUUUCUUGAGUUAUAAUGAUUAAAUUAGUAGAUAAAUUUGUAAAUAUUUUUUGAUUUUAAGGUAAUUAAAAGGAAUUCGGCAAAUAUAUUUUUCGCCUGUUUAUUAAAAACAUGUCUUUUUGAUAAUAAUUUAAGGUUUAAUCUGCUCAAUGAUUAUUUAAAUUGCCGCAGUAUUUUAACUGUGCAAAGGUAGCAUAAUAAUUAGCUUUUUAAUUGAAAGCUGGAAUGAAUGAUUGGACGAGAAAAUUUCUGUCUCUUUAUUAAUUUUAUUUAAUUUUACUUUUAAGUUAAAAGGCUUAGAUUUUUUUAAAAGACGAGAAGACCCUAUAGAGUUUAAUUUAUUAAAAUUUAUUUUUUUAUUGGUAUUUUAUUAAUUUAUUUUUUAAUAAAUUUAGUUGGGGUGACUAAAAGAUUUAUAAAACUCUUUUAAUUAUAAUCAAUUAUUGUUGAAUACAAAAUCUAUAUUUUUAAAUUUAAAAUAAAUUACCUUAGGGAUAACAGCGUAAUUUUUUUUAAAAGUUCAUAUUAAAAGAAAAGUUUGCGACCUCGAUGUUGGAUUAAAAUUUAUUUUGGGUGUAGAAGCUUAAAUAUUAAGUCUGUUCGA